AGUUUUACCCCAAAAAAGAUUCUGUUAUUUUUUAUUGACAUGGUUAUAGCUAUUAUUUAACUGUAAAGCCCCCGACUUCGACUGAUAGCUCUCAAUGAAUGAACUAUUUUCAUGCCUCCUCAUAUCAUUUUCCAAUAAUACCAAAUUGACUCAGUGCAUCUGAUAGAUUGUUAAUUUUGUGCAUAGAUGAUAUGAUGAUUAUGUAGUAACAAAAAUUUCUCUCGGCUUUUGAGACCGUUUAUUUCAAGUUUUUUUAUUUUUUCAGGUCAGAAGAAAAAAGAUCUCGCAAAUUUAUCCUUCUUGUGUUUAUGUCAGUCAAAUUUGAUUUGAACUUAAUAACAACUUUUGUUAUCAUCAAUAACACCUGGAUUUUAGUUUAAUCCCAUGCAAACCCUCUAAAAGACUUUUUCAAAUGCAGUUAAUUAACAGACAUAGACAACAUCCAACUAUCUACCGAAACUCAAGCUGCAUUUAAAUCAGCUGAAACAAAUACCAAACGAGAAUAUGAACUCUGAAUUAAAAGUCAAAAGGCCAUGCCAACUUAAGUCAGUUGUCCAUCAUUGUUACAACAUCGCAAGAAGAGCUUCAAGGAAGACAGAUAGAAGAAUCGUGCUCGAGAUCUAAUCUACCUAGAUCGGAAGAAGUCAGCUGGUCAGUUUGAAGUGAUCUUGUGAAAAUAGUUUAAUAAAAAAUACUUAUAAUAA